rnacentral:rRNA from 1 species
GACGAACGCUGGCGGCGUGCUUAACACAUGCAAGUCGAACGGAAAGGCCCUGCUUUUUGGGGGUGCUCGAGUGGCGAACGGGUGAUUAACACGUGAGUAACCUGCCCUGGACUUUGGGAUAACUUCAGGAAACUUGGGCUAAUACCGGAUAGGAGCUCCUGCUGCAUGGUGGGGGUUGGAAAGUUUCGGCGGUUGGGGAUGGACUCGCGGCUUAUCAGCUUGUUGGUGGGGUAGUGGCUUACCAAGGCUUUGACGGGUAGCCGGCCUGAGAGGGUGACCGGCCACAUUGGGACUGAGAUACGGCCCAGACUGCUACGGGAGGCAGCAGUGGGGAAUAUUGCACAAUGGGCGGAAGCCUGAUGCAGCAACGCCGCGUGCGGGAUGACGGCCUUCGGGUUGUAAAACGCUUUCGCCUGUGACGAAGCGUGAGUGACGGUAAUGGGUAAAGAAGCACCGGCUAACUACGUG